rnacentral:rRNA from 1 species
CCUACGGGCGGCAGCAGUGAGGAAUAUUGGUCAAUGGGCGAGAGCCUGAACCAGCCAAGUCGCGUGAGGGAGUACUGCCCUAUGGGUUGUAAACCUCUUUUGUCUGGGAGCAAAAGCCGGACGUGUCCGGCUGUGAGAGUACCCGAAGAAAAAGCAUCGGCUAACUCCGUGCCAGCAGCCGCGGUAAUACGGAGGAUGCGAGCGUUAUCCGGAUUUAUUGGGUUUAAAGGGUGCGCAGGCGGAUUUUUAAGUCAGCGGUAAAAUCGUGGGGCUCAACCCCAUCCAGCCGUUGAAACUGGGGAUCUAGAGUGUGCGAGAGGUAUGCGGAAUGCGUGGUGUAGCGGUGAAAUGCAUAGAUAUCACGCAGAACCCCGAUUGCGAAGGCAGCAUACCGGUGCACAACUGACGCUCAGGCACGAAAGCGUGGGUAUCGAACAGGAUUAGAUACCCGGGUAGUC